rnacentral:rRNA from 1 species
GACGGAGGGUGCAAGCGUUGCUCGGAAUCAUUGGGCGUAAAGGGUGCGUAGGCGGUCUCUUAAGUCUGACGUGAAAGUCCAGGGCUCACCCUUGGAAGUGCGCCAGAAACUGGAAGACUAGAGUACCGGAGGGGAGAGUGGAAUUCCUGGUGUAGCGGUGAAAUGCGUAGAUAUCAGGAGGAAUACCGGUGGCGAAAGCGACUCUCUGGACGGUAACUGACGCUGAGGCACGAAAGCGUGGGGAGCAAACAGG